ACACGAUCCCCGGGCCUCUGACCGCCGGCAACCCGCCCGGGGCGCUGGAACUGCUGCUCCAAGGGGGACCUGACCCCUCCUGGGCUCGCUGGACGUCUCGGCUAAAUCCAUUCGGACUGGGCCCCGAUUUCUGUCGCCCAAGCAGGUUGUGCGUGGCCGCAGAGCCGUGAGGGAAGAUCGGAGGAGUGAGGCAGAGGCUGGAAAAGGAAACAAAACCUCCAAAGGCUCCGCGGGGCUGGAGGGCUCCGAUGGCACCCCGGGGGUGGCAGGGAAAUAAAUUACGCCUUGA